GCCCGAGUGGCGGAAUGGUAGACGCAGCGGAUUCAAAAUCCGCCGCCGCAAGGCUUGCCGGUUCGAGUCCGGCCUCGGGUA
rnacentral:tRNA from 1 species